UCCCUGCCAAUUGCAUGUAUGAUUUAGAUAAUGACAGAUUUCAAGCAUAAGAAAAGAACGGUAAUUUUCCAUGCAUGAUUUUGUUGAUAGAAGCUGUAUUUUGCAGACAGAUGGGCACUCAAAUAGUGUAUUUUUCUCAAGGUUAAGCUAGAAAUGAAAUUUUAUUAUUAUUCAUUUCCCCCAAGACCCCCAAUGAAGACAAGCAUAUAGUAAUUUCGCUGCUGAAACUUAAGAGCAAGAUCAUCAAUGCAAUAAACAAUUAUGUAAUCAUGUAAGCUAUCAAAGUUGCGGCUAUGUUCAGUGCUGCUGCUUCUUGUUUAAACAGGUGAUUCUGUAAACAUCUACAUUCUCUAGCAAUUCCAGCUACGCCAAUCUGGAUCAUCAAUUCCAAACUAGGUCUAAGACUUGAACCUAUUGGUUUUGGAGCUAUAAUACUAUUGAAAACACAAAGAAUAUGUUGACUUGUUUCUAAAAUGACUAAAUAUCCGGCUGAAAUUCUUUACAUAUUCUCAUCCGCAGAGAAUUACAAACACACAAAUAUGACGAGUGGGUAACAACCUAACAGGACAAUAAUUUCUCAAUUUUAUCUGCUUAGAUAGGAUUGCUAGAAAAGAGGAGCUUGGACCACAGAUAUACCAUCCACCAUAGAACUCAGCAGAGAAGUUUGAGCUCGGUAAAAAGAAGAUUGGAGCAAAAAUUGGAAAACUUCUACCAUACCUACAGAUUUCUGGAAAGUAUAGUUUGGCAGUAACAAACAAACAAAUAAAAAGGAAAAUACCCAUAGUUCAUAAAUCUUCUCAAUUGAGCCAGAGGAUGUCCACGACUGAGCACCUCCUUAAUUUUUCUGAUGAAUUAUAAACAAAAUAAAGUUCAACUGCACCUACUUAUAACUGGAACAUCUAGUCGAGCUGUAACAAACAAAAACAGGAGAGAAUCUCCUUGGUGCAUUUGUAGGAUGUGCAUACACUACUAAGCACCUCCUAAGUUUACCUGACGAAUAACUUAUAAAAUAUAGGAUUCCAGAGUCCACAAGAAACCACGUCCAUUUGUUAUAUUACUUUAAUUGGUAAUCAAGUGUUUUUCACAUCAGGCCCCCCAUUUGAAGGCCGAUCUUCUUCUUAUCUUUACCUUGAUUUCAUUAAAAAUAAUCCAAUGAACUAAUGCAAAAAUGCCUACUUAAGGGAAUAAUCAUACCGAACUAUGGGACACAAGUCAAGUGCAUUGGUCUUCCUUUUCAUUUCUUUCUCGUAAUUUUUUUCAGAACCAAAUCAAAUCUAUACCAAGUGAUCUUGCAAUUAUAAGUGGGUUGCUUCAGACACAGAAAGCAUCAUGUCUGUACUCUCAAAAUGCAAAUGCAUGAAACAUGUCCUAAAUGAGGCAUUUUAAACAUCAUUUGGAUCAGCAUAAAAAGUAAGGAAGUCCGAAAUUUUGAGAAAAAGAAAGCUUACAUAUUUCCCGCGUCCAUAGCCCUCUUCAUCACCAUCACGAUACUUAUUACGAUCCUCGUCGUCGUCAUCACUGCGGCGACUCCCAUAAGAAGGCCUCUCAUAAUCUCCUCCUUCAUGGCUAACCCUCUUAGGUGAAUCAUCUCCAUAACUUGGCUUCUCAUGAUGGCUCCUUCCUCCAUACCCUUCUCCCUCUUCCUCGUAACUCUGCUUCCUGCCAUACCCAGACACAUGCUCCGACCCACCUUCUUCAUAUUCGGACCCUGGCCUCCUCAUGUUGGCUCCUUCAUAGCUAACCCUCUUAGGUGAAUCAUCUCCACUACUUGGCUUAUGUUGGCUCCUUCCUCCAUACCCUUCUCCCUCUUCCUCGUAACUCUGCUUCCUGCCAUACCCAGACACAUGCUCCGACCCACCUUCUUCAUAUUCGGACCCUGGCCUCCUCAUGUUGGCUCCUUCAUAGCUAACCCUCUUAGGUGAAUCAUCUCCACUACUUGGCUUCUCAUGUUGGCUCCUUCCUCCAUACCCUUCUCCCUCUUCCUCGUAACUCUGCUUCCUGCCAUACCCAGACACAUGCUCCGACCCAUCUUCUUCAUAUUCGGACCCUGGCCUCCUCCCAUGCCCGGAUCCGUACCCCGUCUCAGUCCUCUCUUCAUGUUCGCUGGACUUCUCGUACCCAGACCCGUAUUCAGAUUCGGGAUUCCUCCCAUAACCCGAACUGUACUCACUUGGCUUCUCAUAUCCAGAACCAUAUUCAGAUUCGGGUCUCCUGCUAUACCCAGAUCCAUAUUCCUCACUCUGAGGUCUCUCAUAGCCAGACCCGUAAUCCGAUUCUUGUUUACGUCCAUAACCAGACCCAUGCUUGCUCGGCUUCUCAUAGCCAGAUCCAUCUUCGUACUCGGGUCUCCUCCCAUACCCGGAUCCAUACUCGCUAGGUUUCUCAUAGCCACCAGACCCAUAUUCCUCACUAUGAGGCUUGCCAUACCCAGCAGACUCAUAGCUAGAGCCAUGCUCCUCACUAGCCGGCUUCUCAUACCCAGCAGACCCAUACUCCGAUCCGGGCUGCAAUCCAUAAGCCGGUUGAGGCCCACCAUAACUGGAUCCAGGUCGAGGCUUGGGACGGGAGUAGCUGCUGUACUCUGUUUCAAGAGCUUCAUCAGCG
rnacentral:lncRNA from 1 species